rnacentral:lncRNA from 1 species
CCCCCUAAUUUUGCGCAGUAAAUUGACAUCAAAUUUGAAAUAACCUUAACUUCAUCUUCCAUGUGAUUGUGCAACCCAAUGUCAGCGGUGACAUCCCAAGCUAGCCCUCCAUUCAUCCCUAUGCCACCUUGCGCAACCCCAGCAGUCCACCACCACCUUCUUGCUAGAGGAUUCCCUCUUCAGCACCAACAUUCUAGUGGAGACUUCUAUCUUCCUCACCUUGGCUCCUCCUUUCACCACUUCCUUGGCUUCCCACUUCACCACCAUCUACAUGGAGGCGGCUUUCUUCUUCUUGACCAUCUAGCUCCCUCCUUUUACCUCAUGGCACCUCUCUCCAUUCACCAGUUCUCCAGAUUUCGCCACCGCCAGCACGAUGCCAUGGAGGCUUCCUUCUACACCAUGGCCCUUCUUCUGAUCAUUUCCUGAACAUCUAGCAGCAAUGGAUAAGGAAACAUUGUAUUUCUGAGGUCUUGGGAUUACUAGAAGAAGCCAUUUUCCUUUUGGGGAUCUUGGAGUUGAUUUAAAAAGAAUUCUGGACGAGUUUGAAUGAAUUGAAAACUUUUAAUUCUUGCUUAAUCUUCUUCCAGUCGGUGCGUUUGGAAAAUUCAUUGACCAACUCACCAUCUACAGAUCCAUGGAGGUGGCAUCGACGUCAAGGCUGACAGUUGAAGAUGACUGUGAUUUUAUUUUUGGGAUGGUUUGGAGUGUGG